GACGAACGCUGGCGGCGUGCCUAACACAUGCAAGUUGAGCGACGAACCAGGGCUUGCCCUGGGGCAAAGCAGCGAACGGGUGAGUAACACGUGGGUAACCUACCCCGAUAACCGGGACAACCCGAGGAAACUCGGGCUAAUACCGGAUGUGCUCACUGGACUUCGGUUCAGUGCGUAAAGGAAGCUUCGGCCUCCGUAUCGGGAGGGGCCCGCGGCCCAUUAGUUUGUUGGUGAGGUAACGGCUCACCAAGACCGCGAUGGGUAGCUGGUCUGAGAGGACGAUCAGCCACACUGGGACUGAGACACGGCCCAGACUCCUACGGGAGGCAGCAGUGGGGAAUCUUGCGCAAUGCGCGAAAGCGUGACGCAGCAACGCCGCGUGGGGGAAGAAGGCCUUCGGGUUGUAAACCCCUUUCAGGAGGGACGAAGGUUCGGCGGUGAAUAGCCGCCCGGACUGACGGUACCUCCACAAGAAGCCCCGGCUAACUACGUG
rnacentral:rRNA from 1 species